rnacentral:lncRNA from 1 species
CGGCCACGUGUUAGUGGGAAACUUGGUUGACCUUCACGCAGCCUCUCGUCCUGAGGGUCAGCCGGACUCACCAGUCUUUUUAUCUGUCGGGGAUGUUCGGUUCGCAGACUGUACAGAAAUCAGCAGACAGAAUGAAUCUGUGAAUAAGGAGGGGCUACCCCACCGAUGAAGCUACUUCUGUCUGGUUUUAAAGGCGUUUCAUGCAGCGGAAAUCUGUUGUUUAAUUUUCUGCACUGGUGGAAGCGUGGGGUGCUUCCCAGGGGAGCCUCCCACCUGCCUCUUCUGCAGGACUCCCCUGGGCACGCAGGCAGUCUCCCCGGCGCUGCCUGUUCCCGAGACUGCAGACAGGAGGGGACCCUGGCAGGGAGACAUCCUGCAGGGCCCCCGUGCACUCACCCACAAAAUGGGGGCCUCCUUGGUAACGUGUUUCUCCGUCCCAUCCGGCCCUAGCAGACCCAGGCGGAAGGUGCUCCAGUCUCUGUCCAGGUCCUCAAGCCUGAUCUCUACCACUACCGCCGGCCCGGAGAGUGCCCUGUCGCUGAAGGGUUCAAAGGACCAACGAGAAACAAGGCAGCCUGUGAGAGGAGAAGGAGCCGAGGAGCCAGCGCUGGCCAAAGGCCCUCCCCAGAAGCCCUCCUCCUUGGAGGUCCCGGCCUGGGAGUCGGACCUGGAGACCUUCAUGCUCCUGUACGUGCUGCCAUGUGGCAGCCAGAACACGCUGUCCCAGGAGGACGCCCGCUCGCGGAGCCCGCAGGCCCAGGCGGGAGUGCCGGCCACCGCCACCUCCGCCGAGGAGCCGGCAGAGGGCCCGGCCGGGCCUGUCCAGCGCCCGUGCUGUCUCCAGGACAGCCAGCUUCCGGAGGCGACCACAGAGGUGGCUACGGCCGGGGCCACCCUGUUCAGCCAGGCUGAGAACCCGCCGGCUGCUCAGGGAGAAACCGAGGUCCCCCUGUGUCCGCGGGGGGGAAGCCGGCGAUCUUGA